rnacentral:rRNA from 1 species
UCCGGUUGAUCCUGCCAGAGGUUACUGCUAUCGAGGUUCGACUAAGCCAUGCGAGUCGAAUGUAGCAAUACAUGGCGAACUGCUCAGUAACACGUGGACAACCUGCCCUUAGGUUGGGUAUAAACCCGGGAAACUGGGUAUAAUACCCGAUAGGUCUCGAUUGCUGGAAUGCAUCGAGAUUUAAAGCUCCGGCGCCUAAGGAUGGGUCUGCGGCCUAUCAGGUAGUAGUGGGUGUAGCGUACCUACUAGCCUACGACGGGUACGGGUUGUGAGAGCAAGAGCCCGGAGAUGGAUUCUGAGACACGAAUCCAGGCCCUACGGGGUGCAGCAGGCGCGAAAACUUUACAAUGCUGGCAACAGCGAUAAGGGAACCUCGAGUGCCAGGUUACAAAUCUGGCUGUCGAGAUGCCUAAAAAGCAUUUCAUAGCAAGGGCCGGGCAAGACCGGUGCCAGCCGCCGCGGUAACACCGGCGGCUCGAGUGGUAACCGUUAUUAUUGGGUCUAAAGGGUCUGUAGCCGGCCGGAUAAGUCUCUUGAGAAAUCUGGCAGCUUAACUGUCAGGCUUUCAGGAGAUACUGUCUGGCUCGAGGCCGGGAGAGGUGAGAGGUACUUCAGGGGUAGGGGUGAAAUCUUAUAAUCCUUGAAGGACCACCAGUGGCGAAGGCGUCUCACCAGAACGGACCUGACGGCAAGGGACGAAAGCUAGGGGCACGAACCGGAUUAGAUACCCGGGUAGUCCUAGCCGUAAACGAUACUCGCUAGGUGUCGGCCACGGUGCGACCGUUGUCGGUGCCGUAGGGAAGCCGUGAAGCGAGCCACCUGGGAAGUACGGCCGCAAGGCUGAACUUAAAGGAAUUGGCGGGGGAGCACCACAACGGGUGGAGCUUGCGGUUUAAUUGGAUUCAACGCCGGAAAUCUUACCGGGAC